AUUCAGCUGACAAGUUCCAAAUAAGACGAAACGCACGUCCUGGAU
rnacentral:hammerhead_ribozyme from 1 species